rnacentral:rRNA from 1 species
CAUGCAUGUAUAAGUAUAAACGCUUUAAGCGUGAAACUGCGUACGGCUCAUUACAACAGCAAUAAUUUACUUGAUCUUGACAACCUACAUGGAUAACUGUGGUAAUUCUAGAGCUAAUACAUGCACCAAAGCUCCGACCCGCGAGGGGAGAGCGCAUUUAUUAGAACAAAACCAAGCGGCUUCGGCCGUCCAUUGUUGACCCAGAAUAACUAAGCUGAUCGUACGGUCUUGUACCGACGACGUGUCUUUCAAGUUUCUGCCUUAUCAACUUUCGAUGGUAGUGUAUCUGACUACCAUGGUGGUGACGGGUAACGGAGGAUAAGGGUUCGACUCCCGAGAAGGGGCCUGAGAAAUGGCCACUACGUCUAAGGAUGGCAGCAGGCGCGCAAAUUACCCACUCUCAAUGCGAGGAGGUAGUGACGAGAAAUAACGAGGCCGUUCUCUUUGAGGCCGGUCAUCGGAAUGGGUACAAUUUAAACCCUUUAACGAGUAUCUAUGAGAGGGCAAGUCUGGUGCCAGCAGCCGCGGUAAUUCCAGCUCUCAAAAUGCAUAGAAUUAUUGCUGCGGUUAAAAAGCUCGUAGUUGGAUCUGUGCCUGUGCUCUGGUCCACCUCGCGGUGCGCACUGGGUGUCACAGGCUUUCCUGCAGUGUUCAGCCCCGGCGCCUUCACCGGCACCGGUGUGUUGAUGCUGCAAGUUUACUUUGAACAAAUCGGAGUGCUCCAAACAGGCGUUUGCUUGAACGUUCGUGCAUGGAAUAAUAGAAGAGGAUUUCGGUUCAAUUUUAUUGGUUUUAUUGGCCGAGAUAAUGGUUAACAGAGACAAACGGGGGCAUUUGUAUUGCUG